CUCUGGACAGUUUGUUCCGUCCAUAAUGUCCGACAAGCCUAGUGUCACAGACAGAAGUCUGUUUAGAGCCCUCGCUGCGGUUCUGCCAUUCGAGUCGAUUCGUUUUCUGAAGAGGAAGCGAAGUAGCCUGUUCAGUGAAGAGAGAAUCAAGGUCUUCACUCUGCCUCUUGAAAGAAAGGAGCUAACCUGUCGCCUAGCAACACCUCCCACUCCUGCCGAAGCCAGAGGAAUAGAAGAGAGGAAGAGGAAGGACUGAACCUGUCUAUGAAACUGAUAAGACAGACAGAGGUAAAGAGUAGGGUAUGAUGUUGCCUUUAAAGUCAAGAGACGCCAGCUCAUCAUGCCAAUGUGUGGGCAUAUCAGUGAUAUCCAUAGCCCACUGAGAGGCUGAUGAAGUUGCACCUGUCGUGGCAUUUUAAUCGUCUAGAUUUAAGUAUAAUAAAUUAUCGAAUGCAU